rnacentral:lncRNA from 1 species
UAUUAGUUGUUGCUUAACACUUUCCAGGCUGAAGAACUAUGCUUACACAACUUUAGCUUUUGUUAUGCUGGAGUUCGUUUUACUUGUUUGUGUAACUUAAUUUGUAUUGCAGCUGAGAAAGUGAAGUUGCCAUAUCUGAGUCCGUACCUGGAUUCAGUGGGCACAAAUUUCAGGAAUGGUGCCAAUUUUGCAACUGGAGGUUCAUCUAUUCGACCUGGUGGCUUUAGUCCAUUCCAUCUUGGCAUUCAAAUUUCCCAAUUUAUACAAUUCAAGUCUCGCACCUCAGCUGUUUAUAAUCAACUCAGUCCAAACAGUCAGUCUCUCUUCCCUGUGUGUGUGUGUUUUGUUCACUUGAUGAAUCUUGUAGUAUACUUGUAGCACCUCACCUUAUUAAGUAACCAGUAAGUUUAAGCCAAAUAUAAACACAAUGUGAUUUUGCUCGUAUUCAUUAACCGGAGGUGCUUGGAGCUGCAAUUUCUGGUCACUUAACGACAAUCUGUUGGCGAAUUUUUGGCACCAGGAACAACGCCACCCUUCAAAAGCAACCUCCCAAGGCCUAGGGACUUCUCCAAGGCAUUGUAUACCUUUGAUAUCGGACAGAAUGAUCUUGCCUAUGGUUUUCAGCACACGAAUGAGGAGCAAGUUCGGGCAUCCAUUCCUGAUAUAUUGAGCCAGUUCUCC